UACAGAGGUCUCAAGCGUUGUUCGGAUUCACUGGGCGUAAAGGGUGCGUAGGCGGGUCUUUAAGUCAGGGGUGAAAUCCUGGAGCUCAACUCCAGAACUGCCUUUGAUACUGAAGAUCUUGAGUUCGGGAGAGGUGAGUGGAACUGCGAGUGUAGAGGUGAAAUUCGUAGAUAUUAGCUAGAACACCAGUGGCGAAGGCGCCAACUGGUCCGGUACUGGACGCUGAGGUGCGAAAGCGUGGGGAGCAAACAGGGAUUAAGAAACCCCGGUGAGUCCCAGAACCAAC
rnacentral:rRNA from 1 species